AGGAGCAGUAAUUAUUUUAGCACAUUUGUUAAAAAAAAAAAAACUUCAAAAUGUCAUGCAAAAAGGGCUGCCUAGGUGGCUCAGUCAGUUAAGUGACUGACUCCUGACUUCAACUCAGAUCAUGAUCUCACAGCUCAUGAGAUCGAUGUGAGUUCUGUGCUAACAGUGCAGAGCCUGCAGAAUCGAAUCCCUGCUUGGGAUUCUCUCUCUCCCUCUCUCUCUCUCUCUCUCUCUGCCCCUCCCUGGCUCACAUGCACAUGCUCUCUCUCAAAAUAAACAUUAAAAAAAGAAAAUUCAUACAACCUAACAAAUUUCAUGCAACAAAUAUCCUGACCAUUCUGCUAUAAAGAAACAGAAUAGAAAUAGCAAAGAACUUUUUUUAAAGAUUGUCAUUAAAAAAAUAACAAAAUAAUUACACAUUCUGUCAGUUUCUUAACAUCUGAAAUGACUUUCCUAAUUCACGAUGCUAUGUAUUAUACAGGCUCUAUAAACUUCAUCUCUAUGGGGGUUUCUUUCCCCCAGAAGACUUGUUUUCUACAAACCAAAAGCUUCACUGGAUAACAUAAGUUUUCUCUUACGUUAAAAAAGAGUGUGUUGACGUCAAUGUUAGAAGUUAAUUGAGUGCAGGAGUAAAUAACCUGCAACUUCUCACUGCCAAGGAGCUCCCUCAGGUCAUAUACUCUGAAAGCAAUAACCUGCAAGAUGGCACCGUCAAACACACCAAGAAUAGCUCCAAAUGAGAGAGAAAGAUUAUUUCUGGACAUCUCUUUUGAGUUCUCCCACAGCUCAAUCUCAUGGACAUUCUGUUCAGUCACCCAGUAAUGAAGUAUUAUGCUGUCCUUGACAGUGGCACAUACGAAGAUCAUGUGGUGGUUUAUAAUUAACUGUAAGUGACACAGAAGACGCUGAUACAUCUGAGUAGUAUCACAACUGGAAAUCCUGGAGCAGAGUUGCAGUUCCAUCAGAUAGUUACGCGUCACUAAAUAUAGAUCUGUGGCUUAGAAUGUACAGUUCAUGAAGAGCUGACUUCUGGAAAAAGGUAUGUCCUGCUUAGCUGUGACUUAAAGGGAAGUUUCACCCACAAAUUUUCAGAGAAGACUGGUGAAAGCUUACAGUCUGAAAGAGGAUCAAUAGGAAAGAAGGCUGUAUUUUAAAGAGAAAUGUGGUAAGAUUAGAAGACAGGAGGUUAUUUAUUAGUGCCCUCUUAUAAAAAAUAAAUCACCUUAAAGACAAGGUGGUGUGUAUUUGGGGUCCAGCAUAUAACGAGACGUGUCAAUGGAUAACUGCUAAAUACAUCAUUCUCAACAUUAUGAUCUCAGAGUGUAGGUGUAGCUGAUAAUUCUAAGUAAUCAACAGUUAACACACGAAGGCUUGCCUUAUUCUGUGGCUAUGACUAUCUUAAAUCUCUAGUUUUCCACAGCUUUAAAAUAAAAUCUUAGUUCUAUACCAAAAUAUUUUAAUAUACCUAUCUCUUAGCAAUUUAGUUCCAAGCUAUUUCAUUUAAAAAUGUUCUUCAGUGCACCUUUAAAGUGUUUUUUUCUGCUGUCUCUCUCUGUAGCAACAUCAUCCUCCAUGCUAAUAAGGCAAAUGCGAGGAUAUCUUGCUAUUAAGUGAGUCCAGUGAACAAGAAACUUUAAGAACAACAGAAAUCAGUAACUGGACUAACCGGGAAAAGGGGAGCUCUUUGAAGCUCCUGUCCAAACCAACUGAAAUAAAUAAUGAAGGCUGAAGAAGAAUAUUCAAAAUAAUGGGUAAUCACUAAACACUUCCCCAUUGGGAGGCCAAGCAAGAAAUAAGUCAGAAUAAGACAACCAUGACUAGGACCAAACAACGACGACGACAAGAAGAAGAAGAACAACAACAACAACAUAGAAGCACAAACACAAAACGGAACAGUGCACAUGGUAGGUGAUAUAAAUGUGCCAAAUAAAUGAAGAAAACAAUAAGCUGAAGCUGGGAAAAUCAAGUGUCAAGACAGAAGACUCCUUCUCUCUAGACUCUUCCAAGCUGCUGAAACAAACGUCUACGUUGUUUUUUUUAAGGUGGCUGCAUCAAAUCCUAACAUCUCUACCUCACACUUCCUUCUCCUCCCUUCAGUUAAAGGAUGAUGGAAUCAAGCCAAGUGAGCCCAAACCCUGGAUCCAACACCUAUCAACCAAGUCAGACAAUGGACAUGGUCAUAUCUCUUUCAGCUUGUGCUCAACUCUGUACCAGCAGAGAAUCCAGCGCUCAAAAUACUGCCACAUGGACCCACUUGGAAUACCCAAAUGCUGCCGCUGGGGUCUCACCCAUCCGUGACUUACAGAAACUGUCUGUUCUCUUUGUAGAACAAAGACCCUUUGUUCUCCUUGUUCUUUACACUUUACAUAUAAUGGGUCAUCUAAUUCUCAUGACAAUCUCACAAGGCAAAACCCAUCAUUAUCCUCAUCUUAUACAUGAGAAACAAAGGCCCAGAGAGGUUAAAGGUCUUAACCAAGGCCACACAGCUAGUAAGUGGCAGGGCCAGAAUAUGAACUCCAGCAAUCUGACUCCAGAGUCCACACUCGGCAAUCACUCUGGCCUCCUAGGAUUCCCCAAAGCCUCCUGUACCUAAUUCUAUAAUGGUACUUAGUCCAAAGCAUUAAUAUCAUUGUUCUGCCUUCUACAAAACUCUUACCCUAACACCUAAGCAAAAGGCCUAACACAAAGAUUGCAGUGGGGCACCUGGGUGGCUCAGAUAAACAUCUGACUCUUGGUUUCAGCUCAGGUCACGAUUUCACGGUUUGAGGAGUUCAAGCCCCGCGUUGGGCUCUGUGCUGGCAGCACAGAGUCUGUUUGGGAUUCUCUCUCUUGCCCUCUCUGUCCCUCCGCCACUCACCCUCUUUCUCAAAAUAGAUAAAUAAGCUUCAAAAAAAAAAAAAGGAAGUAUGCAUUUAAUCAAGGCUACUAAAUUAAUAACAACUGACCUUCACCUGUCUUCAUGAAGACAUCCUUAUAAUAAUUUUUAAUUUUUAUAUUUUUAAGGUACUGAAAAAUUAAUAAAGGAAAAAUUUUUAUGCCUACUUAACAAUUUUUAAAACUUUUUCUUUUUACCUUUCAACCCCCUGCCUCUAGUACUCACCAAUCUGUUCUCUGUGUGUAUGAGCUUGGUGUUUUGUUUUGUUUUUUUGAUUCCACAUUCUCAUAUAAGAGUGGUCAUAUAGCAUUUGUCUUUCUCUGACUUAUUUCACCCGCCAUAAUGCCACUGAGGUACAAUCCAUGUUGUCACAAAUGGCAAGAUUUCCCUUUUUUUAUAGUGGAACAAAAUUCAAUUGUAUAUAUGAGUAUAUGUAUGUAUUAUAUCUUCUUUAUCAUCCACUGAUGAAUACUUAAGGUUAUUUCCAUAUCUUGGCUAUUGUACAUGCUUCAGUGAACACGAAAGUGCAUGUAUCUUUUUGGGUUAGUGUUUUCAUUUUCUUUGGAUAAACACCCAGAAGCAGAAUUGCUGGAUCAUAUGUUAAUUCUAUUUUUAAUUUUUUGAGGAACUUCCAUACUAGUUUUCAAAGUGGCUGUACCAAUUUACAUUCCCACCAAUAGUGCACAAGAGUUCCCAAGUAUGCUCUUAUACUAGCUUUGACAUUCAACUCAAGGAAUAACUCAUAGAAAUAUUUAAAGUUUAAGGUUACCUGAAAUAUUUUCAGUUCAAUAUUAACUAUAAAAGGCUUAAAGAGAACACUCAUUCUACUAUGAAAGAAACUUUAUUAGCCUACAAAAUGGUGAAACUUUGAAGAAAUUGCUGUUUCUCUAAAUAGGGAGUAGGGAAAAGUCAGUACUAAUCCAGAAGAUAAUUAACCAAUGGAAUUUCUCAUGUACCCCCACACAAUGAAGAGUGAAGAUACUAUGGUUACUACGCAAACUUCCAAUUUAAAAAUACCGGAUUAAGUCAUUUCUGAAGUUAAGCUGGCAGGCAUUCUUUAACCCUCCUCACCCAAAAAAGAAAGAAAGAGACAUUACUUCUAAGUAGUGAAUGCUGACAACACCCUUUAUCUCCCUGCACCCUCCACCUGACACUUGAUCACACAUCAAGCUCCCCUCCACCAAAACCCUUGUACUUCCCAGGGAUCACUACCCCCAAUUUUGGGGGGGGCCAAUAUAGUCAGCUACUGAUAUUUGUUGAUAACUAUGAUAAUGCUUAAGAGUUUGAUUAGGCUUAAGCUAUUUUUUCCCUAAACUGCAUUUUUUAUAUCUAAAUUUCAAUCAUAAGCUAAUAAAAAGUAGAUCUUUUCCAGUGCAAAUAUUUUAAAUUAGGGGUUUAAUAGGAAAAAAAGGUACAGGAAGGAUAUAUUUUGUUUCACACACUCCUAUUCCUCCUUGAUGUCUAAACAUCAAGGAAAUAACACAUCAAGUGUUAUUAAGUCUGCACAGUCUCAAGAUAUCACGAUGUACUUAUUAACUGUUUCUGAAAACAAGCUGUACUAAAAACAUGCCUAUUAGUAAAGAGCAACAAAGACUGUCUAAGCCUAACAGAGCAUACGCUGGCCAGGGAAAAAGCUUGCUAGAUUUGUACUGUUUAAAACACUCAUUCAUCAAAAAUAGUACAUGAUAAAGAAGCCCAGACUAAUAUAUAUGUGAUGGUACUAUUAAAACAAGAUUCAUGAAUCCUCUAUUACUUCCUGCCAACAUGGAAGUAGACACAGGCUAAUAUGAUCCAGGCAAGAGAAAUAGGAAACACAGAACAAUGUACAGAAGAGAGGGGGAAAAAAGGCCCUAGGUUUAAAUCACCUUCUACCACAUGGAAUAAAAGCAGAACUUAGGACAUGUCUAGUUUUAUGGAAAGAAGUAAGAGAAUGCCAAUACAGGGAAAGUUUGUCAGCUGCCAAAGAAAACAGAAUAACCUUUGCUUACAAAGAGACUGAUUAAAAUUCAUGUUCCUUCUUGUAUUCAAGCUUUCCACAUGAGCUGAAUACAGAAGAAAAUAAAUGAACUACAUCAAGAUUCGCAAUAACUAUGAAAAAUAAAUUCAAAAGUUAAACAGUAUUUUCCUUUAAUAUCCCAAAUGCAAAUUCAACUUCAAAAAAAGAAAAAAAAAAUCUCUAUCAGAAUCUCCUUAUCUGUUAGAGAUUAACCUCAAAAUUUUUAUGUUCUUUUACUCCUACUUAAGAAAAUUUCCUGCCCACUGGCUCUGGAAAUAAGAAGAAAAAGGCACAUCAAAAGAGAGAUGAAAAACAUGGCUUCCUGUAGGAGCCAUUACCAAGCACUCAGGACAACGAAACCUACACAGCAUCAACAGGAUCAGACACUAUGUUUCCUCUGCAGCAGUGAUGGAUUUUUAAAGAUUCAAAUCAACUUAACAAAUCCUGGAUGCCUUCUAGAAGCCAGUCACUGUACUUUUCAGGAUGCAGAGCCGAUCUCCCAGUCCAUUCCUGUUCAGCCUGCUUUGUCUCCCACAGCAUUUAGAGCAAAGGGUCUGUCAGAAUUCAGUGCCAUGAAACAGGGCAACUAAUUAGUCAAAAGAAACACAGAUCCCUAUCUUGCCCUGACUUGUGGGCUUCUAUCAAUGACCACAAACUUGCUCUGAAGUAGCUGGGGUCCACUUGACAUUAUAAAACAAAUUUCUACCAAGGGUUACCAGUUACUGGCAAAAUUAUCACCAGAAAAGAAGUUCUGAAACAGAAUGCUGAUGUGUUAUCGGGAACUACCAUUCCGAUUUCUCCAAUUUACUUCAUCAAGUAGAAAAACAACAACAAAUAAUAGCACCACUGAAUCUACAUCUAAGGUGACUCCUGUAGUGCCAAAUAAAGAUGUUCUAUGUAUACUUUAAAACAAAACAAAAAUAUCACUUAUGUCUGUGUGUGUGUGUGUGUGUGUGUGUGAGUGUGAGUGUGUGUGUGUUUUAAAUAAUGGUAGUACAAGGGCUCCUCCUUGAUGGUUCAGCUGGUUAAGCGUCUGACUUCGGCUUAGGUCAUGAUCUCUCAAUUUGUGAGUUUGAGCCCCUCAUCAGGCUCUCUGCUGUCAGCACAGAGCUCACCUCAGAUCCUCUGAACCCCUCACCCUCUGCCCUUCCCCAACUCAUGCUCGCUUGCGCGUGCUCUCUCAAAAAUAAACAAAUAUUUAAAAUAAAAUAAUGGGAGUACAGGAGCGCCUGGGUGGCUUGGUCAGUUGAGCAUCUGACUUCGGCUCAAGUCAUGAUCUCACGGUUCCUGAGUUUGAGCCCGGCAUUGGGCUCUGUGCUGACAGCUCAGAGCCUGGAGCCUGCUUCAGAUUCCGUGUCUCCCUCUCUCUGCCCUUCCCCUGCUCACACUGUCUCUCUCUCUCAAAAA